GACGUAGGGCGCGAGCGUUGUCCGGAUUUAUUGGGCGUAAAGAGCUCGUAGGCGGCUUGUCGCGUCGUUCGUGAAAACCCGGGGCUCAACUCCGGGCUUGCGGGCGAUACGGGCAGGCUAGAGUUCGGUAGGGGAGACUGGAAUUCCUGGUGUAGCGGUGAAAUGCGCAGAUAUCAGGAGGAACACCGGUGGCGAAGGCGGGGUCUCUGGGGCCGAUACUGACGCUGAGGAGCGAAAAGCGUGGGGGAGCGAAACAGGG
rnacentral:rRNA from 1 species